CCUACGGGUGGCAGCAGUGGGGAAUAUUGGGCAAUGGAGGCAACUCUGACCCAGCAACGCCGCGUGAAUGAUGAAGGUCUUCGGAUCGUAAAGCUCUGUGAUGGGGGAUGAACACAAUGAUGGUACCCCAAUAGCAAGCUACGGCUAACUACGCGCCAGCAGCCGCGGUAAUACGUAGGGGGCAAGCGUUAUCCGGAAUGACUGGGCGUAAAGGGUGCGUAGGUGGUUGCGUAAGUUGGCGGGGUAAUUCCGGGGCUCAACCUCGGCGCUACCGCCAAAACUCUUAGACUAGAGUGCAGGAGAGGUAAGUGGAAUUCCUAGUGUAGCGGUGGAAUGCGUAGAUAUUAGGAGGAACAUCAGGGGCGAAGGCGACUUACUGGACUGUAACUGACGCUGAGGCACGAAAGCGUGGGGAGCAAACAGGAUUAGAUACCCUUGUAGUC
rnacentral:rRNA from 1 species